GACAGAGGGUGCAAACGUUGCUCGGAAUCACUGGGCGUAAAGGGCGUGUAGGCGGGUAGAUAAGUCGGGCGUGAAAUCCCUAGGCUCAACCUAGGAACUGCACUCGAAACUGUUUAUCUUGAGUGCCGGGGAGGAAAGCGGAAUUCCUGGUGUAGAGGUGAAAUUCGUAGAUAUCAGGAGGAACACCAGUGGCGAAGGCGGCUUUCUGGACGGUAACUGACGCUGAGACGCGAAAGCGUGGGGAGCAAACAGG
rnacentral:rRNA from 1 species